CCCUUUGAUACUCUGGGCGGUACGCGCGCUACACUGGUUUAUAUAACGUGUAAUUUGGACGAUAGUCUGUAUAAAUCACUAAUAUAAAACCGUGAAUGGGAUAGUUUAUUGCAACUUACAAACUUUAACUAGGAAUCCCUUGUAGAAGUAGUGAAUUAUACUGCUUCGAAUACGUCCCUGCCGAUUGUACACACCGCCCGUCGUCUCUUCCGACUGGUACUCAUUGUGAAUUGCGAGGAGAUUCUGUCAAAUCGUUGUAAAUGCUGGGUAUUGGAGGAAGAAAAAGUCGUAACA
rnacentral:rRNA from 1 species